rnacentral:misc_RNA from 1 species
UCCGGUUUGUCACCGGCAGUCCCAUUAGAGUGCCCAACUGAAUGUAGCAACUAAUGGCAAGGGUUGCGCUCGUUGCGGGACUUAACCCAACAUGUCACCACACGAGCUGACGACAGCCAUGCAGCACCUGUCUCUCUGUAGUAUUGCUACUAAGACUGUAUCUCUACAGCUGUCAGAGGAUGUCAAACCCAGGUAAGGUUCUUCGCGUUGCUUCGAAUUAAACCACAUGAUCCACCGCUUGUGCGGGCCCCCGUCAAUUCCUUUGAGUUUUAAUCUUGCGACCGUACUCCCCAGGCGGCGCAUUUAUCGCGUUAGCUUCGCCACAGAAGGGGUCGAUUCCUCCUACAGCAAAUGCGCACCGUUUAGGGCUAGGACUAC